rnacentral:rRNA from 1 species
CUACGGGCUGCUCCAGUGGGGAAUUUUGGACAAUGGGCGAAAGCCCGAUCCAGCCAUUCCGCGUGAGUGAUGAAGGCCUUCGGGUUGUAAAGCUCUUUCGGCCGGGAAGAAAUCGUGCAGGCUAAUAUCCUGCAUGGAUGACGGUACCGGACCAAGAAGCACCGGCUAACUACGUGCCAGCAGCCGCGGUAAUACGUAGGGUGCGAGCGUUAAUCGGAAUUACUGGGCGUAAAGCGUGCGCAGGCGGAUGUUUAAGCCAGAUGUGAAAUCCCCGGGCUUAACCUGGGAAUGGCAUUUGGAACUGGACAUCUAGAGUGUGUCAGAGGGGGGUGGAAUUCCACGUGUAGCAGUGAAAUGCGUAGAGAUGUGGAGGAACACCGAUGGCGAAGGCAGCCCCCUGGGAUAACACUGACGCUCAUGCACGAAAGCGUGGGGAGCAAACAGGAUUAGAUACCCCCGUAGUC